rnacentral:rRNA from 1 species
GACGUAGGGGGCGAGCGUUGUCCGGAUUUAUUGGGCGUAAAGCGCGCGUAGGCGGCUCGGAAAGUCGGAUGUGAAAAUCCGGGGCUCAACCCCGGACCUGCAUCCGAUACUCCCGGGCUGGAGGCAGGUAGGGGAGAUCGGAAUUCCUGGUGUAGCGGUGAAGUGCGCAGAUAUCAGGAGGAACACCGGUGGCGAAGGCGGAUCUCUGGGCCUGUCCUGACGCUCAGGCGCGAAAGCUAGGGGAGCAAACAGG